UUUUAUACAUUAGCUGUGGCAAAUAUAUAUAUAUUGUUAGGCCACAGGUCUAUAUAUUAGUAACUUAAAAAUGAUUAGUAGGCUUCUAAACUUAAUCCCCCAUGCACAAGGCUGCUGCUUUGCAUUAACAGACAUAAUGUUGCCGUAUAUUUGAUGAAGAAAAUACUCGUCUGUCGUCCUAAAUUAGUUGUGAUAUAUCCUUUCCUUUUUCUAGCUAGCUUAUUAAGUUACACUACCAAUUUCGAUCCCCUUGGUUUUGAGCAGUGUGGUGAGGUGAAGUUAUUCAAGUAAAAGGGACAAAUAUUAAAACUACGUACUACACAUACACUCAUUUCUUAAAGUGCAUCAAGCUCCCAAAGGGACAAAUAUUUUGAGACUGACAGGUAAUUUAUUAAACUGUAAAUAUACACCCUCAGAAUCUUUUGCACGCACGCACGCACGCACAAGUAGAAGUAAAUACUCCAUACAGUGUAGUGAAAUGCUGCCGAAUUAAUUAAUUAACAAGGGUAAUUUUCCUAUUUCUAAACUAGAUUGAUUACAAUUUACAACUUCCUAAAAGUAAAAAACUUGCCGACAAUGCUUUGCUGUAAAUAGAAAAUUACCUGGAGUUGGUCCUCAAGCGAGUUUCAGUGAAAAUGAUUAGCGCUUUCGUUUUAGCAAAUAUAAAAAUAAGAAUUAAUGUAAUUUUCAAUCUGAUAUUAUUCUUGAAUUAAUUAGAUUGGUGAGUGAUUAUAUUAGUUAUAUUCUAAUCCCUUUUGAUUUAAUGUUUUCAUGAUAUUUUGUUGUUGUUUUUGGAUCAGAGACAAGAUGGAUGCAGCCUGCCUGCCUGCCUGCAGCUUCUUAAUUUUGAUUAAUUGAGUAUUUCAUUUUCAUGUAUCCCAUAAGAUUUUUAUAAAAUGAAAAUAACAUUUGGAAUUAGGUACUCUUUCG
rnacentral:lncRNA from 1 species